AUAUGUAUAUGUUUCAAACCAUUAUUCUACUAUAACUUUAAGUGAAAGAGUUCCAUACAAUAAUCUAUAUUAUUAGCUAUAGGCUACUUAUCAACCUAAAGCCAUAUACUACUAUGUAAAUAAUAUAAAUUUAUUAAAAUGUUAAUAUUCAUGCACUAAUAAACUAAGUACCCAAUAGUUUACAUUUUAUCUGACAGACUAAAAUACUUUUAAGUCAAAAUAGUAGAUAGAGAUUUAAAAUACUAGGUAUAUAAUGAUAUAUAACUUGAGUGAUUUUCAAUAUUGUUUUUUUAAUUUAUUCAAUUUUGUUAGAAUUUUAGAACUUAAGUUUCAAAAUGACAUCUUAGAAUAAUUGGGACGAGUGCAGUCACUGUUAUAGGUAGUUUAAUGUAUACUUGUAGCAACCAUAAACCAAUGCUUACGAAAAAACGAUUCUGCAAAAAAUGCAAAAUAAGUUAUCCCUGUUUGUACACCUGUCUCUCCACUCAAAUUGCAUUAUGAGUAAAAUAAAAAGACUCAUUCUUCCCACAGGGGUGCAGCCAUUGUAUGUUGAAAGUUGGAUAAAUAGGAUACAAAAGAGAAUUUAAUGCAAUGACAAAUGAUUGUGAGUGCAGUUGAGUUGAUAGUGAUACUUUUUCAACAAUAUUUUUUGUCAUUUUGUUGUA